rnacentral:rRNA from 1 species
AAGUCGUAACAAGGUUUCCGUAGGUGAACCUGCGGAAGGAUCAUUAAUGAAUAUAACAUCGGAGGGGGGAACGAAGGGGAUGCUGUCGCUGGCCUUUCAAGGCAUGUGCACGCUCUCCGGAGGACCUCCCGACGUCUUUCAUCUUCUCACCUGUGCACCAUAAUCUAGGUCGGGCCGGUUUUGGUAAACAGAACUGGCGAGUGCCUUGUCCUAUCGGACGAGGCCACGUACCUAUAUCUUCAUAACAUCUUCGUGUAGAAAGUCCCAGAAUGUAUACUAUCAUAGAGUCACGACUUCUAGGAGACGUGAAUCUUUGAGUUAAAAGUUAUUACAACUUUCAGCAACGGAUCUCUUGGCUCUCGCAUCGAUGAAGAACGCAGCGAAAAGCGAUAUGUAAUGUGAAUUGCAGAUCUACAGUGAAUCAUCGAAUCUUUGAACGCACCUUGCGCUCCUUGGUAUUCCGAGGAGCAUGCCUGUUUGAGUGUCAGUAAUUUCUCAACCCCUCUUGAUUUUCUUCGAGGGGGAGCUUGGAUAGUGGGGGUUGUCGGAGACCUUUGGGGGCUAGUCCCCCAGGACUCCGACUCUCCUGAAAUGUAUCGGCUUGCGGUCGACUUUCGACUUUGCGUGAAAAGGCUUUCGGCGUGAUAAUGAUCGCCGUGUGCUGAAGCGUAUCAAUGAAAGCUUGACGUGCCUCUAAUACCGUCGACCCUAAUAUCUCCAAAAGAGAGAAAAGG